CCAAUAGCGUAUAUUAAAGUUGUUGCAGCUAAAAAGCUCGUAGUUGAAUUUCGGGAUCAGUUGGUCGGUCGUGCCUCGGUACGUACUGGUCAAAUUGAUUCCUACCUUCUGACGAACCACGAUGUCAUUAAUUUGGUGUCGCGGGGAAUCAGGACUGUUACUUUGAAAAAAUUAGAGUGUUUAAAGCAGGCUCGCGCUUGAAUACAUUCGCAUGGACUAAUGAAAUAGGACGUUUGAUUCUAUUUUGUUGGUUUCUAGGAUCGACGUAAUGAUUAAUAGGGAUAGUUGGGGGCAUUAGUAUUCAAUUGUCAGAGGUGAAAUUCUUGGAUUUAUUGAAGACUAACUACUGCGAAAGCAUUUGCCAAGGAUGUUUUCAUUAAUCAAGAACGAAAGUUAGGGGAUCGAAGACGAUCAGAUACCGUCGUAGUCUUAACCAUAAACUAUGCCGACUAGGGAUCGGAUGAUGUUAAUUUUUUAAUGACUCAUUCGGCGCCUUACG
rnacentral:rRNA from 1 species